rnacentral:rRNA from 1 species
AGCGAAUGUUUGCGGCGGGCCUAACACAUGCAAGUCGAACGGGCUACUUCGGUAGUCAGUGGCGCACGGGUGCGUAACACGUGGGUAAUCAACCCUCUAGACUGGGAUAACCCGGGGAAACUCGAGCUAAUACCAGAUGUGUCGCCCUGAUCCUCGGAUCGGGUCGAGAAAGGUCGCAAGGCCUGUUAGAGGACGAGCCCGCGGCCCAUCAGCUUGUUGGUGAGGUAAUGGCUCACCAAGGCUAAGACGGGUAGCUGGUCUGAGAGGAUGGCCAGCCACACUGGAACUGAGACACGGUCCAGACUCCUACGGGAGGCAGCAGUGGGGAAUAUUGCGCAAUGGGCGAGAGCCUGACGCAGCCAGCCGCGUGAGCGAUGAAGGCCU